AUGGAGGAUGGAGGUGAUGAAAAUGAGGAAGAUGAGGAACUGUGGAGUGAGCAGCUGCUCUCAGGGAGUCUCUCAGGUUGGAGUGAGCUGAAGUUUCCCUUCAGGCUGGGCAGGAACACAGGGAGGGGCUCCCUCACAGGUAACAACAGCAGCAGGAUCAGCUUCCUCCGUCACUUGAUGAUGGAGUCUGCGCUCGCCUGGGCGAUCCUGCUCGUUCUCGGCGGCUUUCAGAGCCACGCAGCUGGCGUGCCAACGUCCACCAUCCACGUGAGACCUGGAGAGGAUGCCACCCUGUACUGCCCCCUGUUGGACACCUCCAAUUUCACCACACCCACCCCCGCUACUGCCCCGACCACCCUCAGCUGGUACAGAAAGGUGCCGGGACAUGGACCUACGCUCCUUGUCUCCCUCAUGUCCAUGGACAGAUCCAGAGUGAAGUACGGCCGCGGUGUUCGCCGUAAUAAAGUCUCUGCAGCGGCCGACGGCUCCCUGGUACUGCGAGGCUCCGAGGAGAAUGACUCGGCGGUUUAUUACUGUGGGAUCAGCCGGGGCAACGACCCGAAGAAGGACCCAAUGCUACGGAAACGUAGAAGGAAAUAAUGUCAGGAGUGAGGCUCGAUUAUCGGGCCGUUAGUCCUGAUUGUGCUGGUUUUAAUUUGCUGCUUGUUCUGAAUGUUUCUGAGUUUUCCUGCUUCUUAUUUUCAGUUUUAUUUCUGACGCAUGCUCUUUGAACAUCCAGAAAAAUACCUGUAUGAUAUCACAGUUUAAUAAAAAUUAUGACUCACAUGUACAAUGACAGCAGAUUUUUUUUAUGAGACUUAAAUGUUUUAAUUGACUGGUGUCUAAUUUCCCACCAUUUCUGCUGGCAGACUUCAUGUUAGUUUAGUUCAUCAGCAAUGCCAGAAACUUUUUUGUUCAAUAGAUUUUCAGUGGCUGUUGGAAAACACCUGUUCGCCUGUCAGUUAGAUUGCAGCAGGCUACCUGUUUUUGCCCAGUACAAGAGACAGAUUUG